rnacentral:antisense_RNA from 1 species
AUUGAAAAACAAUGAAGUAAAAGAGAAGAAAAGGAAGGAAUGAGUGGCAAAUAAAAAUAAAGGGCUCUAUUGAGGGAAAAUUAGUAUAUUGUAGUUAUAAAUUGCUUGGAAUAAAUACGUUGAAUGAAUCUUGAGCAGUUGAAAUGGUUAAACUUGGGAUUUGCUUGUGCCAUUUAGCCUCAGCAAUGUGUUCCUGGCCCAUAUGUAAGAAUAAAAGCUUCUUUGGGAUGUUUGGAGUGCCACUUAGGGUGGCAUCAGUCUUUGAGUCAGAAUUGUCUUCAUCAAUAACUUCAUCAUCAAUUGCAAUAUCCCAGAAACUAAUGGAGUUAUCUAAAGAAGCUGCAAGGAAAACAUCUUGGUCUUGGUGAUGCCAGUCAACAGAUAGAAUAGGUUCUCUGUGGAAGAUGAAUGUUUCAAGGGGAUCUUUAGUUGAACGAAUAUCCCAUAAUUUAAUAGUUGCAUCAUCACUUCCACUAAGCAAAAGGUUUUCGGAAAAUGGAUUCCAUGAAAUACAAUUGACAUCGCCAUUAUGAGAGUUUUCAAUAGUCAGUUGAUCAGACUCACUUCUAAUAUCUACAAUGCAAAUAUUAGAAUUAACAAGACCAGCUGCAAAGAUACUACUACUAUUGCUAUCACGCUUCCAUUGUAUAGCUUCAACACUGGAUUGGAAGUUUCCAUGGACUGGAUUUACACUCCAAGACCCUCCUUGAAUAGGCUGCCAAAAACAUAUAUUUCCCUUUCUAUCUCCAGAAGCAAAUUGAGCAAUUUGGUUGGGAUUCCAAUCCAUUGAAAACCCUUCAUCCAGAUGUCCAUCAUAAGAAAACUUUGGCUUAGUUGUGGAUUUCUUUGCAAGGUUUGAUGGUUUCAAUGUUUUUGAGUUCAAAUGGUCAGUAUUUAAGUUAUUAAUCGAUUCUGUUAUAUCCCACAUGCAAACUUUUCCAAGCUCUGACCAUGUUGAUACCAAAUUUGGAAGUUGAGGGCAAACCCGAAUACGAUUAAUAGUUCCUUUAUGAGGAAUUGCUGCCACAUUUACAAUAGGGUCUUCAUCAGCAAAGUUGUCAUCAUCAGAGUCAUCAGAAUCACUUAAAUCAGAAUCACUAUUAUCAUUUUCGUCUCUAUCUCUUUUGGUUUUGUGCAUUCUUGACCAUUUCAUUAAAAGUAUAUGAUUAUUAUCCUCCAUAUUUGCUUGUGUUCCUGCAACAACAUAACAUGUAUGCGGAAACUGGGUUCUGUUGUCUCCAAGCUUAUCUGGUAAAAUAUCUAGUGUUAGGCAACUCCAUUCAACCAAGCAUUUAUGGUACAUUUUAUAUGCUUUUGGCUCAUAUACUAAUUCUUGAUUUUCGUCACCCUGACCUGGAAGCCAAUAAUGUUCUUCAAUUUCAACAUCCUCAUCAGCUCCCUCAACAAUUUCAGACCCAUCUUCAGUUUCUUCCCUGAUUACUUCUUCUUCGCUUUCUAUUUCAUCGUCCAUCUCUUCUGCAAAUUCUCCCUCGACAUUCAUCAUUGCUUCUUGUUUCUCAUACAUCUCAGAUUUAGGUUUGCUAGGAGUAAACUUACUAGGAAGCUCGUCUUCCUCCACUUCAAGAUGCUUUCUACCCUAUAAUUUCAAAAAGUUAAUAGUUAGUUAAGGUGU